CCCCUCAUGGCGCCGGUGAGUCGAAACUUUCCACGGGGCGAUGGUUUUGGCCCACUGGGGCUUUUGCCUGGUCCCACUGUGCCCCUGUUUUCCUCCUUAUGUUCGUUUCUCUGCUUUACGCCGUUACUACGUCUGGCGUUUUCUCCCCAAGUGAAGUAUGGCUCACUGAGGUUUCCGUGUUUCCCAUUCGCGCCACUGCUUGGAGACGGCGCGGUACAGCGGCUCCCGUUUUAUUUUUGUUUUAAAUGUGUUCCUCGUAGGUAAUAUACAGUUGGAUCUUGCCUCCACCCCACAUCUGACCGUCUCAGUCUCUUCACUAAGUUACCCAGAGUGAAAAUCUUCUUUUUUCAAUGAAGAAUCCAAAAAGAACUUCUUGCCACUGGGUGUAAUACGUGAUAUAAAUUAUACCAGAGAUGCAUCACAUGAGACUGGCACAGAAAUUAGGUUUUUUUUUUUUUGCUAACAGAGAACACAGAGCAUCCAUUCUGCUGACAUGAAACUAAGCAGAGGCUGUUUACUGUUUGGGGGCUGGUUGCUGUGACCAGUUUCUCAGCACAACGGCCCAUUUUACAUUGGACUGUAAGGAUGUAGCAAGUUGUUACAAUAAUACCCUUUAAUGAAUUAUGCUUCUCUAUGACUGUAUCCUUAUGGAACAUGGCCAUCUUAGCCACUUUCUUGGACCCUGGGAAAAAAUAUUCGACACCUACAACUUAAAGGAGGAGAAAAAAAAAAUAAAGAAGGAGAGAUUUAUUUUGGCUGAUAGUUUUUAGAAGUUUCAGUCCAUAGUCAGCUGGCUCCAAGACAGAAAUGGCAUGAGAGAAAGUAAUUGCAGAAGAAAAGCUGCUCAUGUCGGUGGCCAGGAAGCAGAAAUCCAGGGAGGAGCCGGGAGGCAGACAUACUCCUCCAGGUCACAACUCCAGUGACCUACCUCUCACUGUCUCCCACCCCAUAGCACGUUCAGCUGUGGAACUCAUUAGUAGAUGAAUCCAGUGAUGAGUGUAGCAAUCCAGUCACCUUCCUAAUUCCCCACCUCUGAGUGCAAGAGAGUUUGGCUUUGCAGUCAAUUCAAGAGUUGGAGUCUGUUUCUCUACCUUCUGAAACUUGGGUUGGUCUUGACCACCAUACCAUAAAGAUACAUAAUUUAGUCUGUGAAAGAAUGAUGUAACACAGGGGAGAACAAUGCUCUCCAGACAGCUGCGAGCUCUGCAGUCUCAGAAAUGAGAGUGAAGCCACCUUGCACCUUCCAGGCCACCUUGGUUUCUACUGAAAAUAACCACAUGACUAGCAGCCCAGAGCUCAAGACCAGCAGAACCAUCCAGACUACAAACCAGCAAAAUUAGAGGAAAACAGUACCAUUUAAAGUUGCUAAACAAUAAUAGGGUGGGAUAGGAUGUUUUGUUAUGCAGAAACAGAUAACUGAAACAGAAAUUAGGAUUCUGCUACAACAGACAACUAAGGUUGAGCUUUGAACUUAGGAGGAGGGCAGAGAUAGAAGGCCUGCAAAUGGACUGCUAGUAGAAGCUGGAAGAACGGUGAGGAUCAUCACUAUUGAGGCUGGAAAAGGGCAAUUGGUUUAAUAUGUUAGUGGAAAAAGUGACACUGUCACCUGCUGUAACUUGGAAAAGAAAAAACAUACCUAAUGGUUUGGAAUUGGCUAAUGAGAACACUAAAGUACCAAACGGAUUCUUUUAACUUUGAGAAAGAUGUUAUGAAAGAAGGACUUAAGGACCUGUUCCUUUGCAAGCAGAAUGCAGUGAAAAUAAGGGCAUUCUGAAAUUUCUGGUGGAAAAAUUAAAUAGUUUCUUGUUCCUAGACUCUCUACAGAGAAGAAAUCGAGAUACGAGGUAAGAAAGAGUAAAGACCAAAUGAGAAAAUGCUGUAAGAACCCCUUAUUAAAGACCUUUGAAACCAUGCCCAACCUGUACUACAAGCAAGAGCACAUCUCAAAAACCCAAAGCAACAACACCAAUAAAAGACUUUUGAAAGCUCUAAUGUGGUCUAUAGUAGAACCUUAGCGAGACAAAAGAAUCAUUAAGACUCUUAAUGGUGUUGUUCCAUGUCAGCCUUGCACCAGACCAUAAGGAAAGAGAAAUCAUUUUUUAAACUGGCACUCAUAAUACACAGGGCCAUUCCUUUCACCAUGCAGCCAUUAAUGUGAAUGACGCACAUUGUGUUGCAUGUGAGUCUUAGUCCUUUUCUGUGCCUCUCCUCGCUGUUCCUCCACUGAUCCAAAGUUACACAUACUAUUUUUAGCUCUAUGAUAAUCCAUCCAGUUGAUAUUUGACAUUUGGGCUUAUGAAACUUCUUUUAAAAUUUUAGAGAAAUUAACCUUCUCUGUAUGUAUUAUAUUAGUUGUUUAUUGCUGUAUUAAAAGUUUCCUCAAACUUAGUAGUUUAUAACAAUAAACGUAUACAGCUUUUUUCCCAAUGGAAAUAAAUAUUAUUAAAGAUACAAAUUUUUCUUAAGCAUUUAGGUUCAACUUAUGAAUCUUACAAUUUUUAUAAACACUUGUAGGGGGGAUUUUGGAACUUGGUUACCUAAAUUCCCUUAAAUCUUUAAAGCCACAUUUAAAAAUUUAAUAUAUUCAUUUUCAUUUGCAAAAAGUUCAUGUCUGUGAUUACAAAAGCUGUUGUGCAUUUUACUGAAAUAACUCUUGUAUAUCUAACAAACUUCUAUAUAUGGG
rnacentral:lncRNA from 1 species